AAGCCGUUUGCCCCGCUCUUUCAUUAUUUCCAAUAAAAUUUUUCACCAAUCAGUAGCAAAUUGUUUGAAGAUUUUUGCGAGUUCAUCAAAAGUUGUCAAUGCACUCCCAUUAUUAUGUAAAAUAUCAAUUUCCGGUUCACACCCCUGUAAACACACGGUCUCAAUAUCGAUCCAAUAUGGCCGCUGAGUCAUUUUGGAGUAAAGUUGUGUGGAAGUUUUUCAGUGCAAUGGGAAUAAAAUUAUUUGUUUAAUCGAUAACAAAAGUAAAAAUAGAAAGGGGACCUUUCCUUAAAUCAUCCUACAAAUUUACUCCUCCAGUCUCCGAAUGGCUUUCAGCAACACCAGAAGUGAAAGAAAGAGCAACUGGUGAUGCAUAACCCAUCAAAAUGAUGAAUGUCAACAUUGUUUGAGCGAAAUGCCGAGACCCAGCGAAUCCCAGAGAAAACUUCUCCAUAUCGUCCUCAAUCACAUCGAGAAGCUUCCAAUUAAGCAUGAGCAGUCCAAUGCAAGUACUAGACUUACUUUUGAAAAAUUGGAAUAAAAUGCAUUGAAUAAAAUCAGUAUCGAGGAUCAA